rnacentral:rRNA from 1 species
AUUGAACGCUGGCGGCAGGCUUAACACAUGCAAGUCGAGCGGGGGAAGGUAGCUUGCUACCGGACCUAGCGGCGGACGGGUGAGUAAUGCUUAGGAAUCUGCCUAUUAGUGGGGGACAACAUCUCGAAAGGGAUGCUAAUACCGCAUACGUCCUACGGGAGAAAGCAGGGGAUCUUCGGACCUUGCGCUAAUAGAUGAGCCUAAGUCGGAUUAGGUAGUUGGUGGGGUAAAGGCCUACCAAGGCGAAGAUCUGUAGCGGGUCUGAGAGGAUGAUCCGCCAGACUGGGACUGAGACACGGCCCAGACUGCUACGGGAGGCAGCAGUGGGGAAGUUUGGACAAUGGGCGCGAGCCUGAUCCAGCCAUGCCGCGUGUGUGAAGAAGGCCUUAUGGUUGUAAAGCACUUUAAGCGAGGAGGAGGCUACUUUAGAUAAUACCUAGAGAUAGUGGACGUUACUCGCAGAAUAAGCACCGGCUAACUCUGUGCCAGCCGCCGCAGUAAUAC